rnacentral:rRNA from 1 species
UGGAGAGUUUGAUCCUGGCUCAGAUUGAACGCUGGCGGCAGGCCUAACACAUGCAAGUCGAGCGGCAGCGACAUGAYUGAACCUUCGGGGGACGUUAUGGGCGGCGAGCGGCGGACGGGUGAGUAAUGCCUGGGAAUAUGCCCUGAUGUGGGGGAUAACCAUUGGAAACGAUGGCUAAUACCGCAUAAUCUCUUCGGAGCAAAGAGGGGGACCUUCGGGCCUCUCGCGUCAGGAUUAGCCCAGGUGGGAUUAGCUAGUUGGUGGGGUAACGGCUCACCAAGGCGACGAUCCCUAGCUGGUCUGAGAGGAUGAUCAGCCACACUGGAACUGAGACACGGUCCAGACUCCUACGGGAGGCAGCAGUGGGGAAUAUUGCACAAUGGGGGAAACCCUGAUGCAGCCAUGCCGCGUGUGUGAAGAAGGCCUUCGGGUUGUAAAGCACUUUCAGUCGUGAGGAAGGGUGUGCAGUUAAUAGCUGUACAUUUUGACGUUAGCKACAGAAGAAGCACCGGCUAACUCCGUGCCAGCAGCCGCGGUAAU